rnacentral:ncRNA from 1 species
UCUUAGUUAGCAUAGUAAUAUGCUUUGCUAGGGCUACACGCCUAUUAAUUAUAUCUCUUUGAGAUAUUAAAUUCAAUUAAAACAUUAAGUAAGCAAUGCUGAAAUAUGAAUUAAUGGUGAUUUACUUUAAGUUAAAAGGCUACAUAAC